rnacentral:rRNA from 1 species
UGCAAGUCGAACGGUAACAGACGGAAGCUUGCUUUCGUGCUGACGAGUGGCGGACGGGUGAGUAAUGCAUAGGAAUCUACCCAGUAGUGGGGGAUAACGUGGAGAAAUCCACGCUAAUACCGCAUGUGUCCUACGGGACAAAGCAGGGGACCUUCGGGCCUUGCGCUAUUGGAUGAGCCUAUGUCGGAUUAGCUUGUUGGUGGGGUAAAAGCCUACCAAGGCAACGAUCCGUAGCUGGUCUGAGAGGAUGAUCAGCCACACUGGGACUGAGACACGGCCCAGACUCCUACGGGAGGCAGCAGUGGGGAAUAUUGCACAAUGGGCGCAAGCCUGAUGCAGCAAUGCCGCGUGUGUGAAGAAGGCCUGCGGGUUGUAAAGCACUUUUAUUAGGAAAGAAAAACCCGGGAUUAAUACUUCCGGCAUUGACGGUACCUAAAGAAUAAGCACCGGCUAACUAAGUGCCAGCAGCCGCGGUAAUACUUAGGGUGCGAGCGUUAAUCGGAAUUACUGGGCGUAAAGCGAGUGUAGGCGGCUAUUUAAGUCGGAUGUGAAAGCCCUGGGCUCAACCUGGGAAUUGCAUUCGAAACUGGGUAGCUAGAGUUUGGUA